rnacentral:sRNA from 1 species
AUCGUUUGCUUUGGUAUCGUCACUGAAGGAGGAGUUGUUUUCAGGCAAUGUUUAUUAAGAGACAUGUUACUUGUGGAUGAGCGAGAGGCUGCUUACUCUUCCAAAUUCUUGAUUAUCUCUGAAUGGAAGCGGAAAGUGGGGUUCUUGCAUUAACAGAAUUUAAGGUCAAUGUUUCAUCAUUCAGAUAAUAAAAUGUUCAACACCCUUUAUGUUGAAUAAGAAUAAGGGCAGCAGGAUGCUAUGAGCAGUUCUCCACCCCCUGAGCCCUGCUUUGCUGAGAUUCCCGAGGACAAGAGUAAAAUGAGACUCCUGGGUUACAGUAUCAGAGGCCUGGGGUCAAAUUCCUACAGGGUUUCAAACUAGCUGGGCCCUGGGGCAAAUAAAUGCCUUUCUCUCCUUGUGUAGGGACUCUUCCUGGACUACCAUAAAUGGUCAUUCCUUGGGCCUAAGAUUCUGUGACCUUUUCAUGUUUGUCCUUUCCAUCUCAUGCACUGAUAAGCCCUAUGUUGAAAUGAGGUUGUAUGUACGUCGUGAACCCUAGCUCUCAUACAUGCUAGGGCAGCCAUUGCACACUGGAUGCGUCCUUGGGUGUCUAUUUCAGGCCUCUGUUGGAAAUGAGCAGGCUGUCAACUUACUACAUCAGGACACUUUGGGCAUAGAACCAGCUCGUUAAAGACUUGUCCUGAACGUAUGCUCCGAACCCAGUUGCUGUGCUGUCAUCGCUAUACAAUCAACAUUCUGCUAACAGUCAAACCCGGAAGUGGCACAACACAGAUUCUUCCACAUCUUGCUGGAACCAAUAUCUGGUUAAAAGCUUCAAAAGAGGGUAAAAUUAACAGUGCCAGAGACGAAGCCUUCUGCCCCCUUUGGAACCUAGAGUCCUGUUGUUAAAGGGGGAAGAAGCAUCGGACUGUAGGGAUGAAACUGCCUCUACCACAAGUCAGACUGAAUAUUUGCAUGUUCUAAUGUAAAUUUUCUAUGUGCCAAUUGUUCAUAGCUAUUAAGCUAGAAGUGUAAACUAUCUCUAUAAUUCCAGUUAAUGAAGUGGUAGGGUUCUUAUAGAGGAGUUACUGAUUCCCCUGGGAACCCUGUUUUCUUUGUUUUGUAUUGGAACAGGAUUCGGGGCUUUGUCUUCUAAUUUUCUCAAUGGUCAGUCCUUCUGAAGGGUGAGAGGCCUUUGUGAUAGUCAUUUGAGGAAUUGUGAAUCUAGAUAGCUGAAAGUUCUCUGCCAGCUGUCAUGGUGUUGCUGGUUUUCUUGUGCACAAAUUGUAGUUUGUUAUCCUGCUUUUACUUAAAUGUCACCUGUUCCUCCAAGAACAAUGUUCAAAGGUCACAUCAUUACUUCAUUAUACUUACUAUCUGCAGUACAAUGAACUUAUUGUGAAAGAUACAAACUUUGUUAGCUCUUCAGUCCAUGGGUCACUAGGGAAUAACAGUGUGGGCAAUGUCCACCGAUUGAUCGUGUCACUUGUAAAGUAAGCUUCCAGUGUGUGUCUACUGUUAGUGUCUGCUCAGUUCAUGCUCAGUGCAUAAACGCACGUAGGUGUAUUAUUUCUUUGUCUCCCAGUGGUAGACUAAUGUGCCAUUUUAUAAAAAGAAUGAUAGGAAGAAGGAAAGAGCAUGUAUGCGAGUGAAGGAAGGAAAUGGAAAAUGAUAACACUGAGGGGUGAAAUGCUAGUCAAACUUAAAAGGAGCUAUAGAAGAGAUAGAGUAAAUGCAUCUCUUUAUCUCUUCAUCUAUCUAUUUGUCUGUCUAUCUAUCUAUCUAUCUAUCUAUCUAUCUAUCUAUCUAUCUAUCUAGUCGGGGAAGCAGAACCAGGAGUGAUCUUGGGUAUGCAUGUAUAUUUUACCUUUAAAAUUAUAUAGAACAAACACAUACAGAUAAAUUAUUAUGUAGAGAGACAAAGUGAGACACAGAAAGGGAGACUCAGACAAGGAAGAGGGGAGAAGGGAUUUUUAUUUUAGGGACUUUGGGGUCUGGCAAGUCCACUGUGUCUAGGGAUGGGGGAGGGGCCAGCAGGCUGGAGAGCCAGGGAGGGCAUGCUCUGGUUCAAUUGUUUUUCCAAAGAGAAUUUGCAGUAUCCCUUUUUGCUCAGGAAACAAUCUUCAGGUGAUAAACAGAGGCUCAUCAUCCACAUUAUAAAUCUUAAUUUCACCUAAAAUAAAAUUUAACAAGAACAUGCAAGGAUAAGUUUUGGUUAAAUAUCUUAGAAAUGUGACCCAACAUAGAUUCACCAAAUUAAUGAUCACAAGCUCUUACCAAAGGGUGAUUCUUGGGAAACUGUUUGUGUUACAUGAAGACGGGGCAGUCAAAGUAACACAGGAUUGAAAACAAACAGAAAAGAAAAAAAUCCAAAGACCACAUCAAAAGACCUCUUAGAAUAUGUUUCAGAGAGUCAAAGCCCAAGGAAUCUAAUCUUACAAAUUGAUCCACUUGUAGAAAUGAGUGUGACAACUCAGGAAGCCCAGGAAAGAUUCCUGCUCCAUCCAUGGCAUACAAAGUGUCUUAGUCAGGGUUUGUAUUCCUGAGCAAAUCAUUAUGAUCAAGAAGCAGGUUGGGGAGGA